GAUACAUGGCUCAGGAUGAACGCUAGCUACAGGCUUAACACAUGCAAGUCGAGGGGCAGCAUGGUCUUAGCUUGCUAAGACUGAUGGCGACCGGCGCACGGGUGAGUAACACGUAUCCAACCUGCCGUCUACUCUUGGACAGCCUUCUGAAAGGAAGAUUAAUACAAGAUGGCAUCAUGAGUCCGCAUGUUCACAUGAUUAAAGGUAUUCCGGUAGACGAUGGGG
rnacentral:rRNA from 1 species